GUUUAGAACGUCGUGAGACAGUUCGGUCCCUAUCCGCUGUGCGCGUAGGAAUAUUGAGAAGGGCUGUCCCUAGUACGAGAGGACCGGGACGGACGAACCUCUGGUGUGCCAGUUGUCCUGCCAAGGGCAUGGCUGGUUGGCUACGUUCGGAAAGGAUAACCGCUGAAAGCAUCUAAGCGGGAAGCCUGCUUCGAGAUGAGUAUUCCCACCACCUUGAGUGGUUAAGGCUCCCAGUAGACGACUGGGUUGAUAGGCCAGAUGUGGAAGCCCGGUAACGGGUGGAGCUGACUGGUACUAAUAGGCCGAGGGCUUGUCCUC
rnacentral:rRNA from 1 species